GUUUAACUGUUUAACCUGGUUGCCCUCCGGUUGGUGAGGGUCUGGACUGCAGACUAGCUGCGAGGGAGGGGCUCUCCCUUCUCCUGUCAGUUAGACUGACAACUCUACCUGGCAGCCAGGCCCUCCGGUCGGGACUGGUGGUGGUGCAGAUAUGAUGACAGGCUUUGGUAACUAUUGCCAAAGCCUGUCUCUGUCCCAAUAGAUCACCAGUUCAGCAAAGUCAGGCCUGAAGCGAAGGGAGUCUUGUGAGCCCUGGACUGAGGAGCCUUCCCAGCCUUUCCGCUCCUGCUGGCCACCUGGGCCCACAUGGCCUCAGGGUCUUCUGCCACAGGGUCCUUACCUCUACAGCUUAACAGCUGUUCUUUCCUUCUGGAUGGAUUCUCACAUUUUAUGGUUGGUUGAUCAGUCAGAUGUUGGAAUUGGGGGUAGAGGGAUUAUAGAGUUGUGUGUGCUAUUUAAGUUUUCUGUAAUCAUUGCUAAUUAAAUUUGUUGAUUCUCCA
rnacentral:sRNA from 1 species